CUCUCCUACAACACAACACAGACAGCAACAGGUUCAGCUCAGAUCGGCACACGUGGGUGACGCGCCGUGUUGCUAGCUACACCAACACAGGCUGCAGUUCUCACACAGACCACUAGGAGAAACCCUGAGUCUGGACAAAACGUGGCCACUAAAGAAGGUCAAAUACUCUUCAAGAUCAUAUCAUCUACGUUCAAGAUCAUUCCUGAACAUUUCCUAAAGGAAACCAGAAUGCGAGGAUGUUCAGAAAGUCAUAAUCAAGUUUAUCCGACACAAGUUAAACCAACAACGCAAAUAGGCUCCUAUGAAAAAUUACAUAUUAAACCUUCCAAAUAUAUAUAUUAUAUUUAUUGACUGCGGUAACUAAUGUAUUUUUGCAUAGUUAAAAAGUAUAAAAUGACGUAAAGUAUUAACGCGGUAAUUUAAACGGCAUUUAUACUUUACGUCACAACGUAAAGAGAACGAAUCCAGAUCUCCACGCCUCAGAAUUAAAAACCAUAACGAGCACUUCGUCGUACUUUAAAUCGCUUCAAAACAAACCGUAAUCUCAUUCAAACUAGCUCAAAAUAGCGAGACCGGCGAUUUAGCCCAGCUUAAUGUAACGCAACGUAUAACUUCUAAUGAAUUACAAUAAAAAGCAACACGCUGUGUAGCAAAACACAAGCUGUGUUUGUCACUGAAAACGGUAAGUUUAAUGUCGCAAAUACUUACAUUUUUGUCGCACAAGAACACUCAACCUUCCCUCAUGUCAUGUCAGAGACGCACGUAACGUCUGUCACAACAACACAACGCAGCCUAACUAUUGUAGGUGAUUGACAGGCGUCGACGACCAAUCAAACUGCAGGACGGAAAGCGUCACCGGUAACGGUCGCGUGAACUGUCACCUCUUCCAUCCAAUGGGAUUCGGGAGAUAUCUGUUAUACACGCCUAUUGAUAAAACAGAUAUUUACACGAAGUGGCGGCGAUUGACAGAACCACCGACGAGUCCUAAAUUUGAGAUUUUCUGAAGGGGAAAAUCAGUGGCGGUGAAAUCUGAAAAUGACAGUUUGUUACACAAAUCACGAGCGCGAGGGAGGAGGGCGUUUCGGUGGGCGUGGCCUGAGCUGGGGUUGGUUGCAUCGCAGCGCAUAUACACAAUGGCUGCUGGAAAGAGGGGAAAGCAAACAAUUUUUAGGCCCGCCGCGUCUAGCAAAAAAUAUGAGAAAAAAAUUAUUAAAAAUCCGGGAAAUAGUUGAAAGUCAAGAAAAACACCCUAGAAAGGAUGUUAACGCUCCUACGGGCCUUGCGUCUCUGCUGUGUUGACGAUUGGGGCUUUUACGCGCUCUCUGCGCCGGGACGUAUCGCUCGUGUCCAACGCAUGGCUUGCUGUCGCUAGGUUGCCAUGGCAACAGUAUCUCCCAACGACGCGGCAGAACACUGUCGAGCGAGGAAGAGGAGAGUAGAGGGGAAAGCGAGGAAGAACUUCUCCUGUCAGUUGUGCGAGAAGGCCUUCAACAGCUUGGAGAAGCUGAAGGUACACUCGUACUCCCACACGGGGGAAAGGCCGUAUCGCUGCACACACACCGACUGCACCAAGGCCUUCGUCUCCAAGUAUAAACUCCUACGGUAGGUACUUGUAUUGUAAC